CCUACGGGAGGCAGCAGUGGGGGAUAUUGCACAAUGGGGGGAACCCUGAUGCAGCGACGCCGCGUGGGUGAAGGAGCGUUUCGGCGCGUAAAGCCCUAUCGGCAGGGAAGAAGAUGACGGUACCUGACCAAGAAGCCCCGGCUAACUACGUGCCAGCAGCCGCGGUAAUACGUAGGGGGCAAGCGUUAUCCGGAUUUACUGGGUGUAAAGGGAGCGUAGACGGCAAGGCAAGCCAGAAGUGAAAGGGCAGGGCUCAACCCUGUACAUGCUUUUGGAACUGUGGUGCUAGAGUGCAGGAGAGGUAAGUGGAAUUCCUAGUGUAGCGGUGAAAUGCGUAGAUAUUAGGAGGAACACCAGUGGCGAAGGCGGCUUACUGGACUGUAACUGACGUUGAGGCUCGAAAGCGUGGGGAGCAAACAGGAUUAGAUACCCGUGUAGUC
rnacentral:rRNA from 1 species